rnacentral:lncRNA from 1 species
CCAGGACCCCCUGGACCACCAGGAGAGAGGUGCUUGUAAGGGUCUACAAGGAUUUAUUGGCAAAGCCGGAAACCCAGGAACACCAGGAGCUGCUGGGCCCCCAGGACCCCCUGGUACUGCGGGCCUUCCAGGACUUAAGGGCGAUAAGGGUGAAAUUGGUGUUGGAGUGCCAGGUUCAAGAGGAGAGCGAGGAGACCCAGGGCCUAGGGUAAUGUCCACAAUGAAUCCAUCUCUUGUUCAUUUGUUUGUAUGCAGAUUGUUAUAG